UCUCUUUUUUAUGUAAACAUAAUGGAAGUCUGAUUAGUUAUAGGCAAAUGAAUACACAACCCAAAUGUGUAUGCUGUUUUCACUAUAAUCUAGUAGUCAUUUAUUAGUAGAGGUCAUUUCCUUUAUGCCCCAUUCUACACACAGACUAAAUUAUAGGCACUGAACCAUUUACAGGACAAUAAUACAAGUAGCAUAUAGGAUCCAACCCUCACAAAGUGAAUAAAUGUAGAGCGUUUGUAGACUUCAAGAAAAAAAUAUUAAGUGACAGUUUCAUCAGUACCUGCUUAAAGACAGUCAUAUCACAGAUGACAGUGCCCACCAAAUCUAUGACAAAAGGGAAUGAAUUGUAAACACUAAAGUGUGUUUGUCAAAAUAAUAUCUGAAAAUGUCAGUUGUUGAACAUAAUACUUCUAGUUGCUAUAGCAACUUACUUAAAAAUCAUACAAUGUGAUUUUCUGGAUUUUUGUUUUAGAUUCCGUCUCUCACAGUUGAAGUGUACCUAUGAUAAAAAUUACAGACCUCUACAUGCUUUGUAAGUAGGAAAACCUGCAAAAUCGGCAGUGUAUCAAAUACUUGUUCUCCCCACUGUAUAUAUUUUUUAUGCUUGUAAGACUAUUCUUUGACACAUUUUGUCUUCCUUUGAAAUUCUUAUAGGACAGAACAUGGACACAAUGCAAUUGGGAUCAAGAAGAAGAUCUUCUCAGAAAUGAUUCAAGUGCAUGGAAUGGAUAUAGACAAAAAGAGAAUUGAAGGACUAGCAGAGGUAGAGAGGCGAGGCAGGGGACUGGAGACCACAGCAGCGAUCCUGCUCUUGCCCAACCUCUUCAAAGAGGACCCGAGUGGCCUUUAUGUCCGUGACAUGAUUUCACCGCUCUUCACUCCUUUACUGCAUAUCGGCAGAAAUCCAUUUCACCAUGAGAGUGAAAUCCCGCUGGCCUUUGAUGGGGAG